GGUCUCGUAGCUCAGCGGUUAGAGCGUUGGAUAUCAUUAUCUCUAACUCGGGAAUGUUAUUCCGAAGACCAGGGUUCGACUCCCUCCGAGACCG